rnacentral:lncRNA from 1 species
GCUGCAAGACACUCCUACACAAGCAGAUCAUAUAAUUUUAGGUACCCAAGUUUUCUUGGGUCCUUCAUGGUUAGUCAUGUUGGUUCCUUUUGGAACCCAUACCCUUUUGAUUUUUCUUUUAGUUUUCCCUUUCCUAUAGUCACAUACAUUUGCUUUAUGUCCUACAGUUCCACAACAAAAACAGGUUAUUUUCUUAAUUUUACUUUCUCCUGCUUUAACAAACAAGUUACUAAGAAGUUUUUGCUUGUUUUUAGGUUUGUAUCCUAGACCUGCUCUAUUGAAUACAGCUCGUUGACUAUUAAGUAUCAUAUUUAAUUUUUCAGAACUAUAUGUAAAUUUUUCAACCAAGGGUUUGUAUUUCUCAAGUUCUUUAGUUAGUGUCUGUUUUUCUGCUUUUAGAUCAUUUAGUUCUUUUGUGAUACUCUCAUUUAUAUGUUUAUAGUUUUUGAGUUCUAAUGUUUCUUUGUUCAGCCUUUCAUUUUCUUUAGUUAAGGUAUUAUUCUUUUGUAUCAAGAUUUGGUUGCUUGUUUUAAGUUCUGCAUUUUCUUUGAUAAGAACAUCUUUAUCCUUAACUAAUGAAUCAUACUUACGGAGAUGAGUUUGGUUAGUUACUUUUAGUUCUUUAUUCUUAAGAUUUAUGGCCUUAUAUUCAAUCAUUAAUUCAUUAAAUGCAUCAUACAAUUCAUCAAAGGUAAAAUCGAGAUGCGUGUUGGAUGUUACCUCAUUUUCAUUGGCCAUGAAACAGAAAUUGGCCUUUUCUUCUUGUUCCUCAUC